GCGGAUAUAGUAUAAAGGUAUUAUAUUAGCCUUCCAAGUUAAUGAUAUGGGUUCAAUUCCCAUUAUCCGCU
rnacentral:tRNA from 6 species